rnacentral:misc_RNA from 1 species
UCCAGCUUAUCGCCGGCAGUCUCUGGUGAGUUCCCCGAAUCUUACGACCCGGAUGGCAACACCAGACGUGGGUUGCGCUCGUUGCGGGACUUAACCCAACACUUCACAGCACGAGCUGACGACAGCCAUGCACCACCUGUGCUAGCUCUCGACUUGACGAGUCCAUCCGCUUUCACUUCAGUACUUCUAGCAUGUCAAACCUAGGUAAGGUUCUACGCGUAGCGUCGAAUUAAACCACAUGUUCCACCGCUUGCGCGGGCCCCCGUCAAUUCCUUUGAGUUUCAUCCUUGCGGACGUACUCCCCAGGUGGAGGACUUAAUGGGUUACCUACGGCACUGACUCAAAUUGAGCCAACACCUAGUCCUCAUCGUUUACAGCGUGGACUAC